CGCCGGGUGCGCAGAGGACGCGCCGCAGCGCCCGCCUCGGGGCUGCGCUGGUUAGGUGGGAGUCGAGAGCGUUUCCUGGCGCCUGAGCCAUGGUGGCCAAACAGCGGAUCCGGAUGGCCAACGAGAAGCACAGCAAAAACAUCACCCAGAGGGGGAACGUAGCCAAAACCCUGAGGCCACAAGAAGAGAAAUAUCCUGUGGGACCAUGGCUGUUGGCACUGUUCGUUUUUGUUGUCUGCGGCUCAGGACCAUGAAGCAGAAGUUUUCCACCAACUACAGGCAUUUCGCAUAUGACUGGGUAUUGAAAAGAACUCCUGUUAAAACAUCUUUUAUUUUCCCUGCCAGAGAAGGUGCACAGUUCAGAGUUCCAUUUGGACAGACUCUCUGGGUUUGCUCCCAGGUUGACCACAUAAACACUGGCCUUUCCUGGAGACUACCUGAACUAUCUUGAAAUUGUGAUACCCAGAGGGUGUCACAGCCCCAAGACUGGAAAGUGGGAUGUUUGAGGAGCUGAACCGCCCCGGAGAAUCCCUUCUGUUUCACCACAAAGGAAAGCUUGAGGACGUGCGUCUGCUCUGGAACUCCUGCCUCAGGAUCUGAGAUGAACAGUCUGGAAAAAGAUGUCUCAUCACCCAUUGGCUCCCUCAAGCUAUCUUCCAGAUCAUUCAGAGCAUCAGAAUGGGCAUGUGAGCCGGCCCUGGGGGUUUGACAACGCCCCCUCCCGCGGGAGGGUGGAGGACCACUUCAGCUCUUAGCCGGGUAUCUGUGGGAAGCCGGCAAGUCACCCAGAAGAGGAAAAAAAAAAAACCAACAAAGGCUCCCUCAGCUGUUCCCUGAUCACUUCAUCGUGGACGUCAGACCAAAUUGCUUUCUCACAGGACAUCUCGGUUCAUCCGUGUUCGUGAGUGGAAAGGACAUAUUGCUUUGCAGUUGGCAGGAUGGGGAGCUUUCCGGCGUCUGCAGCAGUACUGUCUGUCUGGAUUCGCCCCGGGUUUCACUGAUGUCUGCAUGUGGGCCCCCGUGAUCACUGCUUUACUUUCUAUGGAUACAGUCUCUGCUCCAUUGGGAAUUGCUUUUACAAAUAAAUGUCUUUGUUCAACCUUA